GGGGGUGUAGCUCAGUGGCAGAGCAGCGCCCUUUUAAGGCGUAGGUCGAUGGUUCGAUCCCAUCCACCCUCA
rnacentral:tRNA from 1 species